rnacentral:rRNA from 1 species
AUACGUAGGGGGCGAGCGUUGUCCGGAAUUACUGGGUGUAAAGGGCGUGUAGGCGGGGAUGCAAGUUAUCGGUAAAAACCCGAAGCUCAACUUCGGGCUUGCCGCUAAAACUGUAUCUCUUGAGUGCAGGAGAGGGAAAUGGAAUUCCCGGAGUAGCGGUGAAAUGCGUAGAUACCGGGAGGAACACCAGUGGCGAAGGCGGUUUCCUGGCCUGCAACUGACGCUGAGGCGCGAAAGCUAGGUUAGCGAACGGGAUUAGAUACCCCGGUAGUCCUAGCUGUAAACGAUGGUCACUAGGUGUGGGUGGUGGUCAAGCCAUCCGUGCCGGAGUUAACGCAUUAAGUGACCCACCUGGGGAGUACGGCCGCAAGGCUGAA